rnacentral:rRNA from 1 species
UAGGGAAUCUUCCACAAUGGACGAAAGUCUGAUGGAGCAACGCCGCGUGAGUGAAGAAGGGUUUCGGCUCGUAAAACUCUGUUGUUAAAGAAGAACGUGGGUAAGAGUAACUGUUUACCCAGUGACGGUAUUUAACCAGAAAGUCACGGCUAACUACGUGUCAG